rnacentral:rRNA from 1 species
UACGUAGGGUGCGAGCGUUAAUCGGAAUUACUGGGCGUAAAGCGUGCGCAGGCGGUUUUGUAAGCCAGAUGUGAAAUCCCCGGGCUUAACCUGGGAAUGGCAUUUGGGACUGCAAGGCUCGAGUGCGGCAGAGGAGACUGGAAUUCCUGGUGUAGCAGUGAAAUGCGUAGAAUAUCAGGAGGAACACCGAUGGCGAAGGCGGCCCCCUGGUUGGAUACUGACUCGUGAUACGCGAAAGCGUGGGGAGCAAACAGG